rnacentral:rRNA from 1 species
AUACGGAGGAUGCGAGCGUUAUCCGGAUUUAUUGGGUUUAAAGGGUGCGUAGGCUGUGCGUUAAGUCAGGGGUGAAAUGCCGUCGCUCAACGACGGAGCUGCCCUUGAUACUGGCGUGCUGGAGUACGGAUGCCGUUGGAGGAAUGAGUGGUGUAGCGGUGAAAUGCUUAGAUAUCACUCAGAGCACCGAUUGCGAAGGCAUCUGACGAAUCCGUCGCUGACGCUGAGGCACGAAAGCGUGGGGAUAGAACAGGAUUAGAUGCCCUGGUAUUCCACGCCGUAAACGAUGAUGACUAACCGUCGGCGAUAGACAGCCGGUGGCCAAGCGAAAGCGAUAAGUCAUCCACCUGGGGAGUAAGUCGGCAACGAUGAAACUCAAAGGAAUUGACGGGG